UCCGAGUUGACCCCGGCAGUCUCCUACGAGUCCCCGGCAUUACCCGCUGGCAACAUGGGAUAGGGGUUGCGCUCGUUGCGGGACUUAACCCAACAUCUCACGACACGAGCUGACGGCAGCCAUGCAGCACCUGUGCAGGAGUCCCGAAGGACACCCCGGGUUUCCCCAAGAUUUCCCCUGCAUGUCAAGCCCUGGUAAGGUUCUUCGCGUUGCGUCGAAUUAAACCACAUGCUCCACCGCUUGUGCGGGCCCCCGUCAAUUCCUUUGAGUUUCAGCCUUGCGGCCGUACUCCCCAGGCGGGGCACUUAAUGCGUUAGCUUCGGCACCGACGACGUGGAAUGUCGCCAACACCUAGUUCCCACCGUUUACGGCGUGGACUAC
rnacentral:misc_RNA from 1 species